rnacentral:lncRNA from 1 species
GAGUUCUGUGCGCCUGCGCAAGUCAUGGGCGGAAGCGGCAGGCGCGUCGGCCGGCACCUAAGAGUGCCACCUCGCCCCGAGAUGGCACUGUUUUCCUUCCUUUGCAACCUGCCAGCCUCAGGGUGUGAUCCAUUGAUUUUUAAAGCAUAAGAUGACCAGAAAAUGGCUCUGUAACUCACACAUCACAAGAACAGGAAAGACAUCGAACAACGAACGGGCUUGGCUACAGAAGGAUUCCAUAAAGAAAAGCAGAGUUUGGUGUACGAACUUUAGAAUGUGGCCUUGCGAUGUUAGAGGGAAGAAUCUGCCCUCCUUGUUUAGCCCAUGUCUUUUCCCUACAAUAAUCUCAACACUUUCAGCUUCAGUAUUUACUGAAAUUAAAAUGUCCUUAAAUGC